rnacentral:rRNA from 1 species
GUUGAACGCUGGCGGCAGGCCUAACACAUGCAAGUCGAGCGGAUGAAGGGAGCUUGCUCCUGGAUUCAGCGGCGGACGGGUGAGUAAUGCCUAGGAAUCUGCCUGGUAGUGGGGGCUAACGUCCGGAAACGGGCGCUAAUACCGCAUACGUCCUUAGGGAGAAAGUGGGGGAUCUUUGGACCUCACGCUAUCAGAUGAGCCUAGGUCGGAUUAGCUAGUUGGUGGGGUAAAGGCCUACCAAGGCGACGAUCCGUAACUGGUCUGAGAGGAUGAUCAGUCACACUGGAACUGAGACACGGUCCAGGCUCCUACGGGAGGCAGCAGUGGGGAAUAUUGGACAAUGGGCGAAAGCCUGAUCCAGCCAUGCCGCGUGUGUGAAGAAGGUCUUCGGAUUGUAAAGCACUUUAAGUUGGGAAGAAGGGCAGUAAGUUAAUACCUGGCUGUUUUGACGUUACCAACAGAAUAAGCACCGGCUAACUUCGUG